rnacentral:rRNA from 1 species
CUACCGGGGUAUCUAAUCCUGUUUGAUACCCACGCUUUCGUGCUUCAGCGUCAGUUGUACCUUAGUAAGCUGCCUUCGCAAUCGGAGUUCUGCGUGAUAUCUAUGCAUUCCACCGCUACACCACGCAUUCCGCCUACCUCAUCUACACUCAAGCCCGCCAGUAUCAAUGGCAAUUUAGGAGUUAAGCUCCUAGAUUUCACCGCUGACUUAACAGGCCGCCUACGCACCCUUUAAACCCAAUAAAUCCGGAUAACGCUCGCAUCCUCCGUAUUACCGCGGCUGCUGGCAC